AGGGCUGGGUUGAGGUGAGGAGCUGAAAAUGGGCAUCUUUGAGAGUUUGUUUAUGGAGUAGUCACAGCCUUUCCUCACCUCAUGCAGUCAGGCCACUAACUUCCUGGACUGGUGAUUCAAGUUGUUUUCUGUAUAAUUUAAUGAGAAAAGCUGAGACUUGGAGUUACCUAGAAGGAGGCAGCAGAGGGAAGGAUCUGCUCACGGACUUAUUGAAUGCCUACUUUUUGCCAGGCACUGUGUUGGACUCCAAGGAUGAGACAACCUCAAGUCGUUGUUAGCAGAGGAAGUGGGAGAGCUGGAUAAGCUGAUAGGCAAUUAUAAUUCAGAACUCGAAUGCCAGCCUAGGGGUGUGUGCAGAGUGGGAGGAAGCCUGGAGCUCAACCUGCUUCCCAAAGACAUCUAUUAUCUCCCUAAAGGUCUUGAGAGCUUGGUUUUGUGGCCUUUCUGGUCUCCACCAUCUGGAGGAUGCACCUACCGGCAUACAUCUUGGUGGCCAGUUGAGUAGCCUGGGGCUCCAGGACAAACUCUCUUUGUCCAGCUGUGUCAGCUUUCAGGGAAGUUUGUCAUAAGAGGUCCCAAUUGCUUUCAUAGGGACAUUUGUCGUUUCAACUUUCAUUGCUAGUUCAUUCCACCUGUGCAAUGAAGGCCUUUGCUUUCUUAGACUAUUUUUGGGAGUGAACUUUCUGGAUCUUGUGAGGGUUGCUCCUUUUGCACUCUCUUUUGGGGAUGCCUCUUGUGUCCAUGGUUAAGUUGGAAAAGGCUUAUUGGUUUGAGUUGCUAUCAAGAUCCU
rnacentral:lncRNA from 1 species